GUUCUUGCUUCAAUAGCACAUAUACUAAAAUCAGAAUGAUACAGACAAGAAAAGUAUGCCCCAUGCAAAAGGAGAACUUAAGAUUCAUGAGGUGCUCUACAUUCAA